GGGUUGUGAGGUUAAGCGACUAAGCGUACACGGUGGAUGCCCUGGCAGUCAGAGGCGAUGAAGGACGUGCUAAUCUGCGAAAAGCGUCGGUAAGGUGAUAUGAACCGUUAUAACCGGCGAUGUCCGAAUGGGGAAACCCAGUGUGAUUCGUCACACUAUCGUUAACUGAAUACAUAGGUUAACGAGGCGAACCGGGGGAACUGAAACAUCUAAGUACCCCGAGGAAAAGAAAUCAACCGAGAUUCCCCCAGUAGCGGCGAGCGAACGGGGAGCAGCCCAGAGUCUGAAUCAGCUUGUGUGUUAGUGGAACGGUCUGGAAAGUCCGACGGUACAGGGUGAUAGUCCCGUACACCAAAAUGCACAGGUUGUGAACUCGAAGAGUAGGGCGGGACACGUGGUAUCCUGUCUGAAUAUGGGGGGACCAUCCUCCAAGGCUAAAUACUCCUGACUGACCGAUAGUGAACCAGUACCGUGAGGGAAAGGCGAAAAGAACCCCGGCGAGGGGAGUGAAAAAGAACCUGAAACCGUGUACGUACAAGCAGUGGGAGCACCUUCGGGUGUGACUGCGUACCUUUUGUAUAAUGGGUCAGCGACUUAUAUUCUGUAGCAAGGUUAACCGUAUAGGGGAGCCGCAGGGAAACCGAGUCUUAACUGGGCGUUAAGUUGCAGGGUAUAGACCCGAAACCCGGUGAUCUAGCCAUGGGCAGGUUGAAGGUUGGGUAACACUAACUGGAGGACCGAACCGACUAAUGUUGAAAAAUUAGCGGAUGACUUGUGGCUGGGGGUGAAAGGCCAAUCAAACCGGGAGAUAGCUGGUUCUCCCCGAAAGCUAUUUAGGUAGCGCCUCGUGAAUUCAUCUUCGGGGUAGAGCACUGUUUCGGCUAGGGGGUCAUCCCGACUUACCAACCCGAUGCAAACUACGAAUACCGAAGAAUGUUAUCACGGGAGACACACGGCGGGUGCUAACGUCCGUCGUGAAGAGGGAAACAACCCAGACCGCCAGCUAAGGUCCCAAAGUCAUGGUUAAGUGGGAAACGAUGUGGGAAGGCACAGACAGCCAGGAUGUUGGCUUAGAAGCAGCCAUCAUUUAAAGAAAGCGUAAUAGCUCACUGGUCGAGUCGGCCUGCGCGGAAGAUGUAACGGGGCUAAACCAUGCACCGAAGCUGCGGCAGCGACACUAUGUGUUGUUGGGUAGGGGAGCGUUCUGUAAGCCUGCGAAGGUGUGCUGUGAGGCAUGCUGGAGGUAUCAGAAGUGCGAAUGCUGACAUAAGUAACGAUAAAGCGGGUGAAAAGCCCGCUCGCCGGAAGACCAAGGGUUCCUGUCCAACGUUAAUCGGGGCAGGGUGAGUCGACCCCUAAGGCGAGGCCGAAAGGCGUAGUCGAUGGGAAACAGGUUAAUAUUCCUGUACUUGGUGUUACUGCGAAGGGGGGACGGAGAAGGCUAUGUUAGCCGGGCGACGGUUGUCCCGGUUUAAGCAUGUAGGCUGGUUGUCCAGGCAAAUCCGGAUAAUCAAGGCUGAGGUGUGAUGACGAGGCACUACGGUGCUGAAGUAACAAAUGCCCUGCUUCCAGGAAAAGCCUCUAAGCAUCAGGUAACAUUAAAUCGUACCCCAAACCGACACAGGUGGUCAGGUAGAGAAUACCAAGGCGCUUGAGAGAACUCGGGUGAAGGAACUAGGCAAAAUGGUGCCGUAACUUCGGGAGAAGGCACGCUGGUGUGUAGGUGAAGUCCCUGCGGAUGGAGCUGAGACCAGUCGAAGAUACCAGCUGGCUGCAACUGUUUAUUAAAAACACAGCACUGUGCAAACACGAAAGUGGACGUAUACGGUGUGACGCCUGCCCGGUGCCGGAAGGUUAAUUGAUGGGGUUAUCCGUAAGGAGAAGCUCUUGAUCGAAGCCCCGGUAAACGGCGGCCGUAACUAUAACGGUCCUAAGGUAGCGAAAUUCCUUGUCGGGUAAGUUCCGACCUGCACGAAUGGCGUAAUGAUGGCCAGGCUGUCUCCACCCGAGACUCAGUGAAAUUGAACUCGCUGUGAAGAUGCAGUGUACCCGCGGCAAGACGGAAAGACCCCGUGAACCUUUACUAUAGCUUGACACUGAACAUUGAGCCUUGAUGUGUAGGAUAGGUGGGAGGCUUUGAAGCGUGGACGCCAGUCUGCGUGGAGCCAACCUUGAAAUACCACCCUUUAAUGUUUGAUGUUCUAACGUUGGCCCCUUACCGGGGUUGCGGACAGUGUCUGGUGGGUAGUUUGACUGGGGCGGUCUCCUCCCAAAGCGUAACGGAGGAGCACGAAGGUUAGCUAAUCCUGGUCGGACAUCAGGAGGUUAGUGCAAUGGCAUAAGCUAGCUUGACUGCGAGCGUGACGGCGCGAGCAGGUGCGAAAGCAGGUCAUAGUGAUCCGGUGGUUCUGAAUGGAAGGGCCAUCGCUCAACGGAUAAAAGGUACUCCGGGGAUAACAGGCUGAUACCGCCCAAGAGUUCAUAUCGACGGCGGUGUUUGGCACCUCGAUGUCGGCUCAUCACAUCCUGGGGCUGAAGUAGGUCCCAAGGGUAUGGCUGUUCGCCAUUUAAAGUGGUACGCGAGCUGGGUUUAGAACGUCGUGAGACAGUUCGGUCCCUAUCUGCCGUGGGCGCUGGAGAAUUGAGGGGGGCUGCUCCUAGUACGAGAGGACCGGAGUGGACGCAUCACUGGUGUUCGGGUUGUCAUGCCAAUGGCACUGCCCGGUAGCUAAAUGCGGAAGAGAUAAGUGCUGAAAGCAUCUAAGCACGAAACUUGCCCCGAGAUGAGUUCUCCCUGAGACUUUAAGUCUCCUGAAGGAACGUUGAAGACGACGACGUUGAUAGGCCGGGUGUGUAAGCGCAGCGAUGCGUUGAGCUAACCGGUACUAAUGAACCGUGAGGCUUAACCUUACAACGCCGAAG
rnacentral:rRNA from 1 species